rnacentral:rRNA from 1 species
UAAUACGGAGGGGGCUAGCGUUGUUCGGAAUUACUGGGCGUAAAGCGUAUGUAGGCGGAUUAAAAAGUUAGAUGUGAAAUCCCUGGGCUUAACCCAGGAACUGCAUUUAAAACUAGUAAUCUAGAAUUUGGUAGGGGUUAGUAGAAUUUCCAGUGUAGAGGUGAAAUUCGUAGAUAUUGGAAAGAAUACCAGUGGCGAAGGCGACUAACUGGGCCAUUUUUGACGCUGAGAUACGAAAGCGUGGGUAGCAAACAGGAUUAGAUACCCUGGUAGUCCACGCAGUAAACGAUGAGUGCUAGUCGCUGGUACAAUAGUUUCAGUGUCGUAGCUAACGCAUUAAGCACUCCGCCUGGGAAGUACGGUCGCAAGAUUA